UACGUAGGGUGCGAGCGUUGUCCGGAAUUAUUGGGCGUAAAGAGCUCGUAGGCGGUUUGUCGCGUCUGCCGUGAAAGUCCGGGGCUCAACUCCGGAUCUGCGGUGGGUACGGGCAGACUAGAGUGAUGUAGGGGAGACUGGAAUUCCUGGUGUAGCGGUGAAAUGCGCAGAUAUCUGGAGGAACACCGGUGGCGAAGGCGGCAUCCUGGACCGGCAUUGACGCUGAGGCGCGAAAGCCAGGGGAGCAAACGGG
rnacentral:rRNA from 1 species